rnacentral:rRNA from 1 species
UUCGGGGUGAGCGGCGGACGGGUGAGUAACGCGUGGGAACGUACCCUUUUCUGCGGAAUAGCCUCUGGAAACGGAGAGUAAUACCGCAUACGCCCUUUUGGGGAAAGAUUUAUCGGGGAAGGAUCGGCCCGCGUUGGAUUAGGUAGUUGGUGGGGUAAUGGCCUACCAAGCCUACGAUCCAUAGCUGGUUUUAGAGGAUGAUCAGCCACACUGGGACUGAGACACGGCCCAGACUCCUACGGGAGGCAGCAGUGGGGAAUCUUAGACAAUGGGCGCAAGCCUGAUCUAGCCAUGCCGCGUGAGUGACGAAGGCCUUAGGGUCGUAAAGCUCUUUCGCCUGUGAUGAUAAUGACAGUAGCAGGUAAAGAAACCCCGGCUAACUCCGUGCCAGCAGCCGCGGUAAUACGGAGGGGGUUAGCGUUGUUCGGAAUUACUGGGCGUAAAGCGCACGUAGGCGGAUCAGAAAGUUGGGGGUGAAAUCCCGGGGCUCAACCCCGGAACGGCCUCCAAAACUUCUGAUCUGGAGUUCGAGAGAGGUGAGUGGAAUUCCGAGUGUAGAGGUGAAAUUCGUAGAUAUUCGGAGGAACAUCAGUGGCGAAGGCGGCUCACUGGCUCGAUACUGACGCUGAGGUGCGAAAGUGUGGGGAGCAAACAGGAUUAGAUACCCUGGUAGUCCACACCGUAAACGAUGAAUGCCAGUCGUCGGAUAGCAUGCUAUUCGGUGACACACCUAACGGAUUAAGCAUUCCGCCUGGGGAGUACGGUCGCAAGAUUAAAACUCAAAGGAAUUGACGGGGCCCGCACAAGCGG